AGAGUUUGAACCUGGCUCAGAUUGAACGCUGGCGGCAUGCCUUACACAUGCAAGUCGAACGGCAGCACGGGUGCUUGCACCUGGUGGCGAGUGGCGAACGGGUGAGUAAUACAUCGGAACAUGUCCUGUAGUGGGGGAUAGCCCGGCGAAAGCCGGAUUAAUACCGCAUACGAUCUACGGAAGAAAGCGGGGGACCUUCGGGCCUCGCGCUAUAGGGUUGGCCGAUGGCUGAUUAGCUAGUUGGUGGGGUAAAGGCCUACCAAGGCGACGAUCAGUAGCUGGUCUGAGAGGACGACCAGCCCACACUGGGACUGAGACACGGCCCAGACUCCUACGGGAGGCAGCAGUGGGGAAUUUUGGACAAUGGGCGAAAGCCUGAUCCAGCAAUGCCGCGUGUGUGAAGAAGGCCUUCGGGUUGUAAAGCACUUUUGUCCGGAAAGAAAUCCUGAGGGCUAAUAUCCUUCGGGGAUGACGGUACCGGAAGAAUAAGCACCGGCUAACUACGUGCCAGCAGCCGCGGUAAUACGUAGGGUGCGAGCGUUAAUCGGAAUUACUGGGCGUAAAGCGUGCGCAGGCGGUUUGCUAAGACCGAUGUGAAAUCCCCGGGCUCAACCUGGGAACUGCAUUGGUGACUGGCAGGCUAGAGUAUGGCAGAGGGGGGUAGAAUUCCACGUGUAGCAGUGAAAUGCGUAGAGAUGUGG
rnacentral:rRNA from 1 species